CAGGCCUAACACAUGCAAGUCGAACUAUCAACUUCCCGCUUGCGGGAGGGAGUCAAGUGGCGAACGGGUGAGUCACGCGUGGGUCACCUGCCCUUGAAUCUGGGAUAACUUCGCGAAAGCGUGGCUAAUACCGGAUAAUGCCUCGAGGGCUUCGGCCUUUGAGGUGAAAGGUGACCUAUCCAUGUAAGUCGCCGUUCAGGAAGGGGCCCGCUUCCCAUAACCUUGUUGGUGGGGUAAAGGCUUACCAAGGCAAUAAUGGGUAGCUGGUCUGAAAGGAUGAUCAGCCACACUGGCACUGAAACACGGGCCAAACUCCUACGGGAGGCAGCAGUGAGGAAUUUUGCGCAAUGGGGGAAACCCUGACGCAGCAACGCCGCGUGAGUGAAGAAGGCUUUCGGGUCGUANAGCUCUGUCAGAAGGGAAAAAACUUUCGCGGUGAAUAGCCGCACAAUCUGAUGGUACCUUUAGAGGAAGCACCGGCUAACUCCGUGCCAGCAGCCGCGGUAAU
rnacentral:rRNA from 1 species